rnacentral:rRNA from 1 species
GACGAACCACACGAACGUUAUUCGGAAUUACUGGGCUUAAAGGGUGCGUAGGCGGCGCGGUAAGUAGGGUGUGAAAUCCCUCGGCUCAACCGAGGAACUGCGCUCUAAACUACCGUGCUCGAGGGAGAUAGAGGUGAGCGGAACUUAGGGUGGAACGGUGAAAUGUGUUGAUAUCCUAAGGAACACCGGUGGCGAAGGCGGCAUCCUGGACCGGCAUUGACGCUGAGGCGCGAAAGCUAGGGGAGCAAACGGG